rnacentral:tRNA from 1 species
GGGCCCAUAACUCAGCCUGGCCAGAGUGGCUGGCUUUUAACCAGUAAGUCGGGGGUUCGAAGCUUGGAAAAUCCCCCUGGGCCCG